rnacentral:rRNA from 1 species
CUUACACCGAAUGCUUGCAUUCAUCGUAAGAAGUUGAGUGGCGGACGGGUGAGUAACACGUGGGUAACCUGCCUAAAAGAAGGGGAUAACACUUGGAAAUAGGUGCUAAUACCGUAUAUCUCUAAAGAUCGCAUGAUCUUUAGAUGAAAGAUGGUUCUGCUAUCGCUUUUAGAUGGACCCGCGGCGUAUUAACUAGUUGGUGGGGUAACGGCCUACCAAGGUGAUGAUACGUAGCCGAACUGAGAGGUUGAUCGGCCACAUUGGGACUGAGACACGGCCCAAACUCCUACGGGAGGCAGCAGUAGGGAAUCUUCCACAAUGGACGCAAGUCUGAUGGAGCAACGCCGCGUGAGUGAAGAAGGUCUUCGGAUCGUAAAACUCUGUUGUUAGAGAAGAACACGAGUGAGAGUAACUGUUCAUUCGAUGACGGUAUCUAACCAGCAAGUCACGGCUAACUACGUGCCAGCAGCCGCGGUAAUACGUAGGUGGCAAGCGUUGUCCGGAUUUAUUGGGCGUAAAGGGAACGCAGGCGGUCUUUUAAGUCUGAUGUGAAAGCCUUCGGCUUAACCGGAGUAGUGCAUUGGAAACUGGAAGACUUGAGUGCAGAAGAGGAGAGUGGAACUCCAUGUGUAGCGGUGAAAUGCGCUAGAUAUAUGGAAGAAC